AGUGAACGCUGGCGGUAGGCCUAACACAUGCAAGUCGAACGGCAGCGCAGAGGAGCUUGCUCCUUGGGUGGCGAGUGGCGGACGGGUGAGGAAUACAUCGGAAUCUACUCUGUCGUGGGGGAUAACGUAGGGAAACUUACGCUAAUACCGCAUACGACCUACGGGUGAAAGCAGGGGACCUUCGGGCCUUGCGCGAUUGAAUGAGCCGAUGUCGGAUUAGCUAGUUGGCGGGGUAAAGGCCCACAAAGGCGACGAUCCGUAGCUGGUCUGAGAGGAGUAUCAGCCACACGCGAAAUGAGACACGGUCCAGACUCCAACGGGAGGCAGCAGUGGGGAAUAUUGGACAAUGGGCGCAAGCCUGGUCCAGCCAUACCGCGUGGGUGAAGAAGGCCUUCGUGUUGUAAAGCCCUUUUGUUGGGAAAGAAAUCCAGCUGGCUAAUACCCGGUUGGGAUGACGGUACCCAAAGAAUAAGCACCGGCUAACUUCGUGCCAGCCGCCGCCGUAA
rnacentral:rRNA from 1 species